CCGACGGUGAGAGACGAAAGCUGGGGGAGCAAACCGGAUUAGAUACCCGGGUAGUCCCAGCCGUAAACGAUGUGCGUUAGGUGUAUCGGUGACCACGAGUCACCGAGGUGCCGAAGAGAAAUCGUGAAACGUACCGCCUGGGAAGUACGGUCGCAAGGCUGAAACUUAAAGGAAUUGGCGGGGGAGCACCACAACAGGUGGAGCCUGCGGUUUAAUCGGACUCAACACCGGAAAACUCACCAGAUAA
rnacentral:rRNA from 1 species